GAUGCAGAACGUAGCGAAAUGCGAUAAGUAAUGUGAAUUGCAGAAUUCAGUGAAUCAUCGAAUCUUUGAACGCACCUUGCGCCCUUUGGCUAUUCUGAAGGGCAUGCCUGUUUGAGUAUCAUGAACACCUCAACUCUCAUGGUUCGCCAUGAUGAGCUUGGACUUUGGGGGUCUUGCUGGCCUACGGUCGGCUCCUCUCAAAUGAAUCAGCUUGCCAGUGUUUGGUAGAGUCGCAGGUGUGAUAACUAUCUACGCUUGUGGUUUUCUGCCAGAUAACCUUCAGUGAUGGAGGUUCGCUGGAGCUUAUAAAUGUCUCUCCCCAGUGAGGACAGCUUUUUGAACGUUUGAUCUCAAAUCAGGUAGGACUACCCGCUGAACUUAAGCAUAUCAAUAAGCGGAGGA
rnacentral:misc_RNA from 1 species